UGCUGUUUCCAACUAUUAAAUUAGCUCUCUACAAAUAUAUUAUUCCGCGAUCAGAGAAAUGCACAAUUAGAUGAAACAGAUAUUUGACUAUGGCUUUACGAGCACGGACCAGGGAGCACCUUUUAUUAACCUUAACCUGCUCCCGUUGACAACAGCGAGUAUUGCUGAUAGACAAUUCCCACAUCAUUCGGUAGUUUUUUAAUUGAAAGAGAAGUUGUUGACUAUAAAAAGACCAAACUAUAACAGUGAGGAUUUCGAGAAACUUAUCAAAUCUGAAAUGAAUGUAAGACCAAAUGAUGUCGCCCUUCCAAUCAAAUUGUGUAAGAUCUCUUCUGUCAUUCGAAAUAUAAGUUGUUCUCACUAA